rnacentral:rRNA from 1 species
UAGGGAAUAUUGGGCAAUGGAUGCAAGUCUGACCCAGCCAUGCCGCGUGCCGGAUGAAGGCCCUCAGGGUUGUAAACGGCUUUUAUUCGGGAAGAAGAGCAGGGAUGCGUCCUUGUGUGACGGUACCGAAUGAAUAAGCACCGGCUAACUCCGUGCCAGCAGCCGCGGUAAUACGGAGGGUGCGAGCGUUGUCCGGAUUUAUUGGGUUUAAAGGGUGCGUAGGUGGCUUUAUAAGUCAGUGGUGAAAUACAGCCGCUCAACGGUUGAGGUGCCAUUGAUACUGUAGAGCUUGAAAUAAUUGGAGGCUGCCGGAAUGGAUGGUGUAGCGGUGAAAUGCAUAGAUAUCAUCCAGAACACCGAUUGCGAAGGCAGGUGGCUACGAUUUAUUUGACACUGAGGCACGAAAGCAUGGGGAGCAAACAGG